UUUUUGCCUAUAUCCUGUAUGAAUUUAUCCAUUCUAUACUCAUUGCUAUGUGUCCUACCUGGUUCUCUUAACAUCAGAACCUCAUUAAUAUCCCCUUUAUUAAAGCCCUUGAUCCAGGGCUAAGCAUUCACGCUGUAAGCCUCUUACCUCCAAGAUUGUGUGCAUUCCUGAGAGUGAGGCAACACAACCCCCGUCAUCCAGCAGCCCAGCCAUUAAAUCUCCAACCAGAGGACGGCGCCACACACACACACACACACACACACAGACACCCACACACCACACACACACUCACCACACACACUCACACGCACCACAUUUUGGCACUGAACAUCGGAGGUUGUGAGUGCCUCCUCCUCCAGCACCACCUACAGCCUCACAGCACCCAUCCUGCAGGACACAAGAAAUGGGCGGCCCAGGAACAAGUUGGCAAGGACAUAAGGCAGCACUCAGCACCCCAUGAGAAGAGGGAGGGAGACAGAGACGAGACCACUGAGUCGAGGGAACCAGUCAUGCCUUCAAGAUGCUGCCUGGAUGCUGGGGAAGAUGAGAUGAGACUAGUCCUGUUGGGGGAAGAUGGAGGGAGAUUAAUUGAAGGGCAGAGAUGAGAGAGAGAAAGAGAGAUGGAUAUGGAACUCUCUCUCUGUAUUUCUAUAAAGAGAAGACUAAUUAUUAAAGUUUGGAGAUAUAUGUUACAACGGAUAUAUUUAACCCUACUCUUCUUCCUCAUCUCUCUUUCCUCUGUCCACCAGUGAGCUAUUGAAGGACUCUUCCUCCUCCUCCUCCUUUCUCUCUUUCCUCUGUCCACCAGUGAGCUAUUGUAUUCUUCCCUUCUCUUCUCUUCCCCUCCCCUCCCAAGAUGCCACCUGGAUGUUGGGGAGAGAGAGAGAGGAUGAGAUGGAUCUCUCUCUCUCAGCUGUUGUUAUAUAAAAGAGAAGAUAAAUAAAGUUGAAUAUUAUUAUUACCAUGGAUAUAUUUGAACCCCCCCCCCCCCUCUCUCCUUUUCAAUGAACCUUAUACACUUUUACGCUACUUUUUUUUGUGAGAGAGUUCCAGCUUCCAGUCCCUUGCUGAGUGACCAGCCAGCCAGUCAGCCAAAGCCCGGAAAAAAUAUAAGGUGGUUAGGUCCCGGUAGAUUGUGGUGGUGGUAGAAAUUGUGGUUGAAUGUCAGGUCUUGGGUUGAAAUUUUGGGGUUACAGAGUUGAAAAAGUUUUGAACAAGUUGAGUUUUUGGGUUGAACUUGUGAUGACUGAUGGUUGGAUUGUGGUAGACUGGUAGAGGGAUGUUGGGCGAAUAUUGUGUGGUGGUUAGACCCUGGUAGAUUAUGGUAGACUGGUAGAAAUCAUGGUUGAGAGACAAUAGUAACUUGCCACAUAUCAGCAACUUCCUCUCCCAGCUUCCAUCAGUUGCACGAUCUGUAAUAAUAAUGAUAAUAAUAAAAGUA